rnacentral:lncRNA from 1 species
UUUUUUUCUUUUUUUUUUUUUUAGGGAUGCACCUGCAGCAUAUGGAAGUUCCCAGGCUAGGGGUCCAAUUGGAGCUUCAGCUGCCAGCCACAGCCACAGCCACAGCAACGUGGGGUCUGCGCCGCAUCUCUGACCUACACCACAGCUCACGGCAACCCGGAUCCUUAACCCACUGAGCAAGGCCAGGGAUCGAUCCCACAACCUCAUGGUUCCUAGUUGGAUUCGUUUCAACUGCACCAUGAUGGAAACUCCUUCCCUCCGUUUCAAUUGCUGUUAUGAGGUUCAGAUUCAGGCCAGCUCUAGCACUUCCUUGAGACAGCCUCGCCCUGCCCCCAUUCCAUUUCUCAGCACUUCCACUAUCAGGAUCUUCCUAGAGUCUGACCAUCCUUCUACUGUUGGUGAAUAUUCAAUGGCUCCCUAUUGCUCUCAGGAUACAGCAUGUAGCCUCUAAGCACAGAUCAAUCCCUGCCCACAUUUCUGGCCUCAUUUCCAGCACAGGUCAAACUAGCAGCAGGUGUGUCUAUCAAACAUGGAGGCACAGAGUCAAGCUGUGCAAAGGACUGGGGAAAGCAGAUCCCCAUAGUUUUGGGAAUUCAGACUUGGAGUACAUCGCCUUGGCUGUGACAGUUUGAAUUGUGUCUCCCCCAAAUUCAGAUCUUGAAGUCUCAGCUUCCAGCACCUCAGAAUGUGACCUUCGUUGGAAAAAGGGUUUUUGCAGCUGUAAUCAGUUAAGAUGAGGUCAUACUGGAGAAGAAGGGUGGGCCUCUGUUCCAGCAUGACCGGUGCUCUUAUUAAAAAGGGCAAGGAAGCACGCACAUGGGGAUCAGGCCACAUGAAAAGGGAGCUAAGUGGCCAGGAGCCAAGGGACCGCCGGAAGCCAGGAGAGAUGUCUGGAGCAGAUUCUUCCCUGACACCUUCUCAGGGAGUGUGGCCCAGAUGACAUCUUGAUUUUUGGAAUUCUAACCCAACUGUGAAGCAACAAACGCCUGCUGUUCUAAGUCACCCAGGAAGUGGUGCUUUAUUACAAGAGCCCUAGGAAGCUAAUGGAGAGACCCCACCCUCCCUGCCACCCUGGUUUCUCAGCUUCAGACCUUCUCCACCAUUUGCUGGUACUGCCCAUGGCUCUCUGUGUGGAAAUGUGGGCGCACAGUAGGGCUGCGAGAGUGGAGAGACUCGCAUCUUCAAAGGUCCACAAAAUUCAUGAUGAUGCAAAUUGAGAAGCCCCUGCCCUUUACUCUCUCCCUGCUUCUCAACUUCAUGGAAACCAGUGGCUAUGAAGAGCUCAUUAAAAGAGAGCAUUAGUCAGUCUGUCUGCAGCAGUUUGGUUUUGUUCUGGUCCUCCUAAGAGAUAAUGAGGGGUCAAGGACCAUUCAGUUUUCUCAAAACAUCAAAUGUGCCAUGGAGAUCAAAGCAUGACUUUCAUCUCUUUCCUGUGCUCCUGGUGCUUCCUUUCAGUUUACUCCAAUCCUUGUGUUCUCUUAAUUAAAACCAAAAUGGACUCAACUCUUCAGUCACAUUUAAGAAGAGGUGAAGCCAGAGUGGUUAUGUCUGGGCUCCAGGAAAUGCCCUGAGCAUGAUGUCCAUGUGAGAAAAGACUGUGCCAGAGAAGCUCCUGCUGUACAGCACAGGGAACUGUAUCCACUCCCUUGUGAUGGAACAUGAAGGAGGGUCAUGUGAGAAAAAGAGUAUCUAUAUAGAUGUAUGACUGGGUCACUUUGCUGUACAGUAGACAUUAAUGGGACACUAUAAAUCAACCAUGAUGGAAAAAUUUAAAUCAAAAAUUUUGAAAAAAAGCCUGUGCUAAGGGAAAGUGAACCCAAGCUGUAACCAUCCUUUCCUGGAAGGAUGACCAUCCUCUGUCCAGGAGGCUGAAUGUCAGGUGGGUCCCACCAGCCCUAGGGAGGAAGGAGACCAACUGGACACAAAGGCCCUGCUCAGAGGGGGUGAGGCUGGGACAAAGGGCCAGGAAAUGGGUGGGGGACUUGUGUCAGAUCUGCUCCCAGAUCCCAAGCCCUGAGGAUCAUCUUUAGAUGGAUGAACGUCCAUAGGUGAGGGUGAGGGGAUGGAGGCUGGGCUUGGGAGGAGAGGGAGCGAGGAGAAAAAGAAAAGAGAGGGAAGGACGACAGGUGGCAGGAAGAGACUAAAGAGAAAACGGCAUCAAGGCUGAUGCAGAGAGAGAGGCUGUGUCCUGUGGUCAGGCCCUGGAGACAGUCUAUGGGGUCCUGGGUCCACUCCCUGUCAACUUGGCCAGCCCUUGGUGGGCUUGUGCCCCAGGCAAGGCUGGCUUUCCCUGGAGGAGGGCCAGGCAGUGCCAAGUAAGGGCUUCCAUAAAGGCCACCUUCCUUCCCCACAAACAUCUUCCCCAUAAACGCUGGCCUCAACUGUCUUUGCCAUUUGUCCCUAUGGGUUAAAGAAACAAUUAAAGCUAAGACGUCUUGAAGGUUGACGUGCUCCAGGCACUAUGCAUUGUUCAUGUAUGAGCUGAUUUCCUAGCUUCCCGAGGUAGGUGCUCUGAUCAUCAUCUCCACGUUUCAGACGAGAAAGCUGAGGCCCCAAGUGGUGGAGUGACUCACUCAGUGUCAUCAAGCUGCUAGGUGGCAGAGCCAGGAUUUAAACACAGCCUGGCUGGCUCCCGAGUCCACAUUUUUCCCAUCGCACUACACUUAUUUCCUAAAUGAAAACCAUCGGGAACUCUACCGCCACAGCUUUCAAAACCAUGUGUUGCUCCCUAAUUGGGGUGUUUUAGGAGGAGAGGUUGUUUUGAAGAUAAUUAAUGAGAAACAUUUGUAACCAUGGCCACUGAGCACCUCUCUGAGGUCCUCCAGCUGGGUUCACUAACAAGUACUGUUCACACUCUUGUGCCUACCACCGCCCCCCAACCCCUCCCAACCCCAAGCUGCCAAUGGGAAGCAACAGGCAGAUUCCACAAAUCAUAAAACUCCAUCUCGUUACCUUAUAAUACUAUGUGUAAAAACAGGUCAUCAGGCUGGCAAAGCUGUCACAUCAAGUACCAUUACUUAAUCUUUGGAAGCCAAACGACAACACUAGAUGAUAUAAAAACAAGUCGGUUUGUCAUGUGAGUUUACUGACCUUCUUCUCUCAGCUUCUAUAGGCAGUGAGAUUCCAUAACAGUCGUAUUACCAAAACACAACAGUAACUACUGUCAUAAAUUAGGCCUCUCCUGGACAACUUUUACGCAUUAGAAGAGAAUACUGGAUGUGGAAAUUGCCUGCUUAAUUUUACCGUUGAGAGCACCAAGGCACAGAAGGAAUACACGUUUAAAUGAUUUACUGAAGGUCAGCUGGAGGCCAGAAGUUUUUAAUCCUAAUCGUAAAUCAAAAUCACCAACAGAAGCUUCUAACUAUGCAGCUACUUGGGGACCAGUCCAGCUCCAAGUCAGGACCUCAGGUGAGUGACGUCAAAGAGUAACUAGGCAGGUUGAUUAGUGACAACAACCACUAGCCAAGGGUCCUGACCCUAUAUGAUGCUCUCUCCCCCACCCCCUGUUGUCUUUUUCCAUGCCUCUUUGUUAUUCCCAGGAUAAAUAAAAGAAAAAGACAGACACAUUGUCAUCUGUGUUUCAUACACAUACAGAAAGCCUUUCAACAACAUUUCCCUGUAAAGGCACGGCCCCUACCUCUAUCUUGAUACUUACUUUAGUGCAUUACAAGUAUCCCCCCAACCCUGUGCCAUAGGGUGAUGUCUGAGACAAGGACGUGACUUUGCUUCAUAAGAUUUAUAUAUUCAGAUGAACAAACUAGAUGUUCAAUAAGUGUUUCUAUAUAAAGGAGGAGGAAAGGGGAUAUGAGGAAAAUGGCUGUAAGAGGAACAAUUAGAAUCUUUUAAUUCAUGGGCCCCAAGAUAUUCGGAAAAUAAGUAUUUCUGUCAGUGACAGGAAAGGAUAUGUGUCAGAAUUACUUAAAGGGCCAUGAGGAAAUCUUGGUCAAUGGCACAGGUUGAACCACUAUGGGAAGUUUCUCAUUAUGCUCUGACCCCAUAUAAGUUCUGGAUAAAAUAGAGCAACAUAAUGUUCCUGCUGUCGUCAUCAUUAUUACCAUUGUUUUACAGAAAAUCUCAAAAUUAAGCAAGGAAAUUUCCCAGUAGGAAAGAAGGGGAAACUCAAACUCAUAAAACUGUCCAUAGGACCAUGAGAAACAUGUGCUGGCAGACAAGAUGCAGUUUAAGAGCCAUGAAAAGAGAAUUAAGCUUUGGGCCCGCAGGUGGUAAGAAGCAGAAACUGACCUCUUUUUUCCAACCCCCUAGAAACAUCAAUGGCUUGAUGGAUGAGGGAGCUGACAUGUCUGAAGCAAGGUCCUGGAGCGACACCCCACUGUGUUUGGCAGACUGCGGGCAGGAUGUGGCAGAAGUCUUCACUGAGAGGGGGCAGGUCAGAGAAAUGACCGGUUGUGUCAAGUUGGCUCAUUAGUUACCAGGGAAACCAGUGAGUGGCACGCCCCUUCACCACCCCCUUUGAUAAGAAUAAUCACCAGCUGGGGCCUGGGGCGAGUACAUAGGAAGGUCAGUUAUGUGCACUGGGGACAGGUGAAGCAGGCACUGGUUGGUCAGGGGAUGUUCAGAGAGCAAGAGAACAGCCAUCCUGAGUGGCCUCCACCCCUCCACACUCUGCAUGACCCUUCCAAUCUUGGUCUGCUCCUCUUGGUCUGCGAUAUCCCUGGGGAGAACCUGACCUCUUUGAAUAAAGUUAAAAGCCAGGACGAGCUGUUCCUUCCAUGAAAUAAGGACUAGAGAAUUCUGCCCACUGGUCUAAGCAACAGCAGGAAGCUGACCAUCUGCCCAGCGUUGUGGGUGGUGGAAGAGUAGACCUCUAGAAAUCAAACUUCCAAAAUUGUACCAUGUGGAGGUGUUAGUCAGAAUUUCUCCAAACCAGAACUAAAGAAAGUUAUAGUCAAAAAAUAAACAUAUAAAGUGUCCAGGAGUGAACCCUGCAAAGGCAAAUGUGAACCGAACGAUCCAGAAGCCCACACGACACAUGUUCAAAGCAUUCUACAGGAAACUCUAGCUGCGAGAGAUGAGCUCCUGGUGAAGAGGUUUAAUUUCAUGAAGAAAGGAACGAUCUUGAAAGACAGUCAACAGAGGAAAUACUUGGGAAAAUCUGUACCCCAUCAACGACAGAUAAUAGAAUAACAUGAAAAGGUUUUUAAAUACUCAUGUAACUAUUCAAACGGAGGAAAAGGAAAAGACGCAAAGCAAUAUUAGGGCAUUAGGAAAAAGGAACAUGCAAAUUCAAGAAAGCAGCAUUUUAUGAUAUUAGUAUAUACACCCGAAAAAUAUAAGCAAUGGGAAAUGAUAAUGGGACACAGUAAGAUGGUUAAGGACAAGAUAAAUAGAGAAUGGUCUUCCUAUAUAAAAGCAAUAACCCCUUAGCACAUAACAACAAAAAGACCUCAUUUGUAAUAACCACAAUAACAAAAAUAUAAAAUGUCUAGAAAUAAAUAGGAAAUAUUUAAGAUCUAUAUGAAGAAAACUUUAAAAUUCUACUGAGAUAUGCAAAAGACGCUUUGAUAAAAUGUAAAAACAAACCCUCUUCAGGCAUAGGAAGAUGUGAUGUCAAAAAAUGUUCAUUACCCCUAAGUUAAUCUCUUCUUGCUUAUUUAUUUUUCAGAAAUAGAAGUUGAUGAAAUAAUGGCCAAAGUUUUUCCAAAUCUGAUGAAAACAAUAUACCCACAGAUCCAAGAAGUUCAGCAAAACCCAAACAAGUUAAAGACAAACCACACAAAAAUGCAUCAUAAUCAAAUUGCUAGAAACAAGAAACAAAGAUAAAAUCUUAAAGGCAGUCAGAGCAAAACAAAACAAAACACAUUACAUAUUGGGAAAAUUCAAAAUUCUUUGGUCAUUAGCGACAGCGGAAGCCAAAAAGAAAAAAUAAUUUGAACUGAAAGAUUAUGAAGAUACAACAUAUUAAAAUUUGUGGGCUGAAACUAAAGUGGAGCGUGAGAGAAAUUUACAGCUUUAAAGACUUAUAUUAGAAAAGAAAAAAGUCUUGAAUCAAUUAUCUAAGCUUUCCUCCUAGGAAGCUAGAAAAAGAAGAGAAAAUUCAACCAAAGACAGGCAAAAACGGACUUGGGCAGAGAUGGAAUAAGCCCAUUACAGACUCUUCCACUGAUUAAAAUACUGGACAAAAUACAAAGGCAGCUGCCUGAGCACUCUGAAAAGUAAAAAAAAAAAAAAAAA